rnacentral:pre_miRNA from 1 species
GUGUGUGUGUGGAUGGUGUUCAGCACCGGGGACCGGCUUGUGUGUGUGUGGAUGGUGUUCAGUACCAGGGACAGGUUUGUGUCUGU